AUCACUUCUUGGCCUUUUGGCUAAGAUCAAGUGUAGUAUCAAAUAGCUCAUCCUACUCCAGCACACAUUUAAAUAGUUUCCAUCCUAAACACUAGUCGUGUCACUGGAUUUCCCAGGAAUUUUAUUGAGAAUUUAUUCUAACUCCUUCUGAACUUUUUUAAAUUGAAUUUAUUGGGGUGACAUUG